AGAGGCUCGAUGGUGGACGGUGUGCCAGCCGGUGCCACACUGCACCUCUCUGCCCUCAUCUUUUCGAAUCGGGGGCCCUAACCCCUCUCUUUCACGGGGUGCUGCCGGGUCAAGGCAUUCAUCCUCUAGCUGAAGGAGAGGACUUGGGUGAGGAGCUGCUGCCACCCGGGCUGGGCCAGGACCUGAGAUCUCAUUGCUACUGCUGCCGCUGCUGCCUGGGGAACCUUUCUGAGACCCAGGUUGGGGACAGUGCCGGAGGGGCCUCCUCUGCUGCAGACAUCUGGAACCAGGUGCAGAUGGGUCUCUUCCUUCCUGCCCCCAUCUCUCUCACUCCUGGCUCAGUGCGGCACUCUCCAGCCUCCUGUGGGAAUCAUCUGAAGUUCUGAGCCCGGAAGCCAAGGAGGAAGACGAGGAGGAGGAGGAGGAGGAGGAGGAGGAGGAGGGAGAGGAAGUCAAGCCCUGAGAACCCUUGCACCUUCCUAGCAGGAGACAAGGAGCAACGCUGCGGUGGGGAGCA
rnacentral:lncRNA from 1 species